rnacentral:rRNA from 1 species
AGCUAGAGACCGGCGCACGGGUGCGUAACGCGUAUGCAAUCUACCUUUUACAGAGGGAUAGCCCAGAGAAAUUUGGAUUAAUACCUCAUAGUAUGUGAGAAUCGCAUGGUUUUCACAUUAAAGUUCCAACGGUAAAAGAUGAGCAUGCGUCCCAUUAGCUAGAUGGUAAGGUAACGGCUUACCAUGGCGACGAUGGGUAGGGGUCCUGAGAGGGAGAUCCCCCACACUGGUACUGAGACACGGACCAGACUCCUACGGGAGGCAGCAGUGAGGAAUAUUGGACAAUGGGCGCAAGCCUGAUCCAGCCAUGCCGCGUGCAGGAUGACGGUCCUAUGGAUUGUAAACUGCUUUUGUACAGGAAGAAACACUCCCUCGUGAGGGAGCUUGACGGUACUGUAAGAAUAAGGAUCGGCUAACUCCGUGCCAGCAGCCGCGGUAAUACGGAGGAUCCAAGCGUUAUCCGGAAUCAUUGGGUUUAAAGGGUCCGUAGGCGGUUUAAUAAGUCAGUGGUGAAAGCCCAUCGCUCAACGGUGGAACGGCCAUUGAUACUGUUAAACUUGAAUUAUUAGGAAGUAACUAGAAUAUGUAGUGUAGCGGUGAAAUGCUUAGAGAUUACAUGGAAUACCAAUUGCGAAGGCGGGUUACUACUAAUGGAUUGACGCUGAUGGACGAAAGCGUGGGUAGCGAACAGGAUUAGAUA